AUUGAACGCUGGCGGCAUGCCUUACACAUGCAAGUCGAACGGCAGCACGGGUGCUUGCACCUGGUGGCGAGUGGCGAACGGGUGAGUAAUACAUCGGAACAUGUCCUGUAGUGGGGGAUAGCCCGGCGAAAGCCGGAUUAAUACCGCAUACGAUCCACGGAUGAAAGCGGGGGACCUUCGGGCCUCGCGCUAUAGGGUUGGCCGAUGGCUGAUUAGCUAGUUGGUGGGGUAAAGGCCUACCAAGGCGACGAUCAGUAGCUGGUCUGAGAGGACGACCAGCCACACUGGGACUGAGACACGGCCCAGACUCCUACGGGAGGCAGCAGUGGGGAAUUUUGGACAAUGGGCGAAAGCCUGAUCCAGCAAUGCCGCGUGUGUGAAGAAGGCCUUCGGGUUGUAGCACUUUUGUCCGGAAAGAAAUCCUUGACUCUAAUACAGUCGGGGGAUGACGGUACCGGAAGAAUAAGCACCGGCUAACUACGU
rnacentral:rRNA from 1 species